UACAGAGACUGCAAGCGUUAUUCGGAUUCACUGGGCGUAAAGGGUGCGCAGGCGGUUGGGUGUGUCAGAUGUGAAAUCCCGAGGCUUAACCUCGGAACUGCGUCUGAAACUACUCGACUAGAGUACUGGAGAGGGUAACGGAAUUCACGGUGUAGCAGUGAAAUGCGUAGAUAUCGUGAGGAACACCAGAGGCGAAGGCGGUUACCUGGACAGUUACUGACGCUCAGGCACGAAAGCAUGGGGAG
rnacentral:rRNA from 1 species